rnacentral:rRNA from 1 species
GACGAACGCUGGCGGCGUGCCUAAUACAUGCAAGUAGAACGCUGAAGGAGGAGCUUGCUUCUCUGGAUGAGUUGCGAACGGGUGAGUAACGCGUAGGUAACCUGCCUGGUAGCGGGGGAUAACUAUUGGAAACGAUAGCUAAUACCGCAUAAGAGUAGAUGUUCAUGACAUUUGCUUAAAAGGUGCAAUUGCAUCACUACCAGAUGGACCUGCGUUGUAUUAGCUAGUUGGUGAGGUAACGGCUCACCAAGGCAAUGAUACAUAGCCGACCUGAGAGGGUGAUCGGCCACACUGGGACUGAGACACGGCCCAGACUCCUACGGGAGGCAGCAGUAGGGAAUCUUCGGCAAUGGACGGAAGUCUGACCGAGCAACGCCGCGUGAGUGAAGAAGGUUUUCGGAUCGUAAAGCUCUGUUGUAAGAGAAGAACGAGUGUGAGAGUGGAAAGUUCACACUGUGACGGUAUCUUACCAGAAAGGGACGGCUAACUACGUG